rnacentral:piRNA from 1 species
UGUCAGCAGCUAUGAUGGUUCAAAUG